CACGUAGGGUGCGAGCGUUGUCCGGAAUUAUUGGGCGUAAAGAGCUCGUAGGCGGCUUGUCACGUCGGCUGUGAAAACCCGGGGCUCAACCCCGGGCCUGCAGUCGAUACGGGCAAGCUAGAGUUCGGCAGGGGAGACUGGAAUUCCUGGUGUAGCGGUGAAAUGCGCAGAUAUCAGGAGGAACACCGGUGGCGAAGGCGGGUCUCUGGGCCGAUACUGACGCUGAGGAGCGAAAGCGUGGGGAGCGAACAGG
rnacentral:rRNA from 1 species